GUAUCACUGUUUCAGUAGAUGCUUCUGUUGGAAGCGAAUGGGAUACCAAGUUCAAAACUUAAUUAUGUCUCCACUAGCAAAUAAGUCCGAUAGUUGUGUAGUUUGAAUCAAUGCAGCAACCAUUUCCCCCUGUAUAGUUGCCUGUAAUAUGGUCAUGUGACUCGUAAAAAUUAGGUGGUCUAGACUUUAAAAAGUUUUCAUUACCCAC
rnacentral:misc_RNA from 1 species